ACUCACACGAAAGUGGAACCAGUGGAAGAGAUCAAGUGAGGAUCUCCCGGGGUCCUCCCCAGCUCUCCCUGCACCCUGGUGGAGGUGCCGUGCAGCAGGACAGGAGCUCAGCCUGCAGCACACACAACCUUCCUACGGGGGAGGCUGGAGCACAGGUCCCUUUAUCAGGCACCUGACUCCUUUUUGUGACUUGCCUUCUGCAAUAUGGGCAGCCAAGCAUUGAGGUGACAUCUUUAUUUUCUUCUUGGACUUGCCCUUGGAUAAAAAAAAUUCUGGCAACUGCUUAAAGUAUUGCACAUUUCCAAAGAGUUUGACUGAAGCAUAUUGUUGCAGUGGAUUCUUUGCUGCUAUUAUUGUGAGAUAAACAGGUUAAAUAUUGACUACAUAAUUUCAGUUGCCAAGAUUGUAAGUGGGCAACUACUGAAAUAUGCAAGUACAUCAUGUAAGUCUAGAUGAAAACAAUCUGAUAUGAAAGGAAUGAUCAGUUAUCUAUAAUAUGUGUGGAUCCCUCAGAAAAUACAGUUAUAUUCUAGGAGGUUCUGAGAUAAA